AGCCAGGCUUGCCAGCACUGCUCUGCUGGAAGCAUCCUGCAAAAGCCGUGCUUAUUUAUUUGCUUUUGUGAGCUUCAUCAGUUCUUCCAAUUUUCACCCUGAAAAUGAUCCUUCAAACUCAGCCGCUGGAUAAGACACCCUGAAAUGGACAUGCCUAAUGUGAAACCUUCUCGGCCAUUCGUGGCUGCAGCCAGUGGAAAAAGGACUUCACCAUUGCUUAUAAACCAUGAAUCAGUGUCCGCCUUUGCUAACGGCUUCCUUGGGGAAAAGUCACAGAUAUUGGAAAUUUCAGAUUGGCUUCGCAUGGUGGAUGGGACGCUCACCAGACUGCAUCCCUACAGUUAAUAUAGUGCCUACUGCAUAAAAGGGCAAAUCCUUAAAACUGAGACACCAAGACAGAAAACUACACCUUGGAGACUGCACACAAUUUCCUUCUACUGCUGUUUUGAAAGGUGACCCUGUUUGUAGCACGUUGUUACAGCAGCCCUAGCAAACUAACACAGAGAGUGUGUGUGCCCACUGCUGCCCAACAUGCUGGCCAAUGGGACAGGAGCUUGACGGCCUCAGCUCAGUCUUGGAAAAUAACGGGAGCCUCCAGUUCCUGAGCGAUCUGUUAUCACUGCAGAUCGGAUUUCCAGUUUACACGUUCCUCAGGGCUUCCUGCCAGGUGGAAGUGAGGGCGCCCUCUUCUGGCGUCUCCAGCAUCCUCCCGGCCCGUCUCGGCCGGCCCCUUAGCUCCGGUUCUCCGCGGGUCUGCAAUGAGAUCCUCGAGGUCCACGCCUGCUUCAUUUUGGCGUCACCUCCACUUCCUAGGGCAGGGCUUCCCCACACAAUAGCCCCUCAGUGCACAUUUGUUGAGUAAGUGAAGGAAUGAAGGAGUUGAGAUGACUUUGAAGCUAAAAUGAGUAGACAUCUGACUUUGUGCCUAAGAGAAAAUUCUUCCUAAGGCUAAGAUUGUUAAAUAAAGGAACUGGUCCACCCA
rnacentral:lncRNA from 1 species